AUGUCCUACAUCGGCAAACGCGUGCUCGUGGUGGGCUGCGGCCAGUCCGGCAUGGAGGUGUCCGUCGACCUGUGCAACGGUGGCGUGAUCCCGUUCAUGGUCGUCCGAAACGUGGUCGGCAUCGCCACAAUAUAUCUCACCAUGCUGCUCAUGCGGUGGCUCCCGCUCUCUCUCGUUGACAAGAUCAUGGCCUUCCUCGCCUGGCUCUUACUCGGCGACCUCGCCAGGCUUGGCAUCCGGACCCCCGCAGUUGAUUCGCUCACGUUCAAGAAGACUGAUGACAAUGGGCGCGCCUGGUGCGCGAUCGCGAGGAGGAUCAGGUCCGGUGACAUUACCGUUGUCCCUAGCGUGGCGCGCUUCACCAAGUCCGGCGCCGAACUGUCCGACGGCAGCGUCGUCGACAUCGACGCCGUCAUACUGGCCACUGGCUACCGCAGCAAUGUGACCCGGUGGUUCCAGGGUAUCGAAUUAUUGGGGAAGGACGGUUGCCCCAAGACCUCGUUCACCGAUGGCUGGAAUGGUCACUCAGGGCUCUACUCCGUUGGCUUCACCCGACGCGAUCUCUUGGGCGCCUCCGCCGACGCCGUGUGUGUCGCGAAGGACCUUGCCGUGUCGUGGAGAGAGAACACGAAACCCAGAAAAUCAGUUAUUUUUUAG
rnacentral:rRNA from 1 species